rnacentral:rRNA from 1 species
ACAACCUGGUUGAUCCUGCCAGUAGUCAUAUGCUUGUCUCAAAGAUUAAGCCAUGCAUGUCUCAGUACAAGCCUAAUUAAGGUGAAACCGCGAAAGGCUCAUUAAAUCAGUUAUGGUUCCUUAGAUCGUACCCACACUUACUUGGAUAACUGUGGUAAUUCUAGAGCUAAUACAUGCAAACAGAGCCCCGACCGGAGACGGAAGGGGCGCUUUUAUUAGAUCAAAGCCAAUCGGCGGCGGGUCAAACCGUCGUCGUACUCUUUGGUGACUCUGAAUAACUUAUUGCUGAUCGCAAGGUCUAGCACCGGCGACGCAUCUUUCAAAUGUCUGCCUUAUCAACUGUCGAUGGUAGGUUCUGCGCCUACCAUGGUUGUAACGGGUAACGGGGAAUCAGGGUUCGAUUCCGGAGAGGGAGCCUGAGAAACGGCUACCACAUCCAAGGAAGGCAGCAGGCGCGCAAAUUACCCACUCCCGGAACGGGGAGGUAGUGACGAAAAAUAACGAUACGGAACUCAUCCGAGGCUCCGUAAUCGGAAUGAGUACACUCUAAACCCUUUAACGAGGAUCAAUUGGAGGGAAAGUCUGGUGCCGGCAGCCGCGGUAAUUCCAGCUCCAAUAGCGUAU